rnacentral:rRNA from 1 species
CCUACGGGAGGUAGCAGUGGGGGAUAUUGCACAAUGGGGGAAACCCUGAUGCAGCGACGCCGCGUGGGUGAAGAAGCGCCUCGGCGCGUAAAGCCCUGUCAGCAGGGAAGAAAAUGACGGUACCUGAAGAAGACGCCCCGGCUAACUACGUGCCAGCCGCCGCGGUAAUACGUAGGGGGCAAGCGUUAUCCGGAUUUACUGGGUGUAAAGGGGGCGCAGACGGCGAUGCAAGCCAGGAGUGAAAGCCCGGGGCCCAACCCCGGGACUGCUCUUGGAACUGCGGGGCUAGAGUGCAGGAGGGGCAGGCGGAAUUCCUGGUGUAGCGGUGAAAUGCGUAGAUAUCAGGAGGAACACCGGUGGCGAAGGCGGCCUGCUGGACUGCAACUGACGUUGAGGCCCGAAAGCGUGGGGAGCAAACAGGAUUAGAUACCCCUGUAGUC